ensembl:snRNA U6 U6 spliceosomal RNA
GCUUGCUUCGACAAUACAUAUACAAAAAUUGGAAUGAUACAGAGAAGAUAAGCAUGGUCGCUGCAAAAGGAUGACACACAAAUUCAUGAAGCAUUCCAUAUUUUU